AGGCUCCCAGAGCAAGAGUGAGUGUUGAUGGGGGAUGAGGCCCACCCUGUGCCCUGCCGUGUCGUGGCCUGCAGGACCAGGACAAGCCAACGGAGAGGAGAGGAGGCAGGGAGGAGCCAGGCUCAACGGAGGGUCUGGGUGUUGGGCGUAUUUGAAAUAAAUCACCAGCUCAGUCUUCAAGUGGGGCAUGGGACUUUAUUUGCCGGCGGGCCAAGGGGCAAUGAACAGGUCGUCUCUGCACAUCUUGACCCCUUGCAGAAGACAGGAACUUAAACAAAAAUCCUUGCCCAGAGCCGCACCCCCAAGUCGUUCCUGCCUCCAGUUUGGGAGCCUCCACUGAGGCCCCCUGUGGAACAGACCCAAGCACCAGGUACGCUGGACACACACACAGAGCCCCACCCAGCCACCGGGACAGGCUGGUGACCGAGAGGCUGGUCAGAAAGCCCGUGUGGAGGGUGUACCAUGCAGAUCUGGCCCAGAAGGAAAGGUUGGCUGUUGAACAGUUGGGCAUGUACUGUCUCCAGAGCAUGAUUGCACCAUCCCGGCUUGUGGGACACACUGGGCCGUGUUCACACAAUGAGGAAAUUGUCUAAUGGAGGAAUUCUCAGAACAUGGCCCUGUGGUGAAGCAAUGCAUCAUUGCAAGCAAAUACAGCUAUG